GGUAGUAGCAAAUAUUCGAAUGAGAUCUUGGAUGGCUGAAGUGGAGAAGGAUUUCGUGUCAACAGCAGUUGAACACGAGUUAGGCAGUCCUAAGCUCUAAG
rnacentral:ncRNA from 1 species